rnacentral:rRNA from 1 species
GGUUAAAACUCAAAUGAAUUGACGGGGGCCCGCACAAGCGGUGGAGCAUGUGGUUUAAUUCGAUGCAACGCGAAGAACCUUACCUGGUCUUGACAUCCACAGAACUUUCCAGAGAUGGAUUGGUGCCUUCGGGAACUGUGAGACAGGUGCUGCAUGGCUGUCGUCAGCUCGUGUUGUGAAAUGUUGGGUUAAGUCCCGCAACGAGCGCAACCCUUAUCCUUUGUUGCCAGCGGUCCGGCCGGGAACUCAAAGGAGACUGCCAGUGAUAAACUGGAGGAAGGUGGGGAUGACGUCAAGUCAUCAUGGCCCUUACGACCAGGGCUACACACGUGCUACAAUGGCGCAUACAAAGAGAAGCGACCUCGCGAGAGCAAGCGGACCUCAUAAAGUGCGUCGUAGUCCGGAUUGGAGUCUGCAACUCGACUCCAUGAAGUCGGAAUCGCUAGUAAUCGUGGAUCAGAAUGCCACGGUGAAUACGUUCCCGGGCCUUGUACACACCGCCCGUCACACCAUGGGAGUGGGUUGCAAAAGAAGUAGGUAGCUUAACCUUCGGGAGGGCGCUUACCACUUUGUGAUUCAUGACUGGGGUGAAGUCGUAACAAGGUAACCGUAGGGGAACCUGCGGUUGGAUCAC